UACGGAGGGUGCGAGCGUUAAUCGGAAUCACUGGGCGUAAAGGGCGCGUAGGCGGCCUAGCAAGUCUGGUGUGAAAGCCCAGGGCUCAACCCUGGAAGGGCACUGGAAACUGUUAGGCUUGAGUUCCGGAGAGGAGGGGGGAAUUCCCGGUGUAGCGGUGAAAUGCGUAGAUAUCGGGAGGAAUACCGGUGGCGAAGGCGCCCCCCUGGACGGAAACUGACGCUGAGGCGCGAAAGCGUGGGGAGCAAACAGG
rnacentral:rRNA from 1 species